rnacentral:tRNA from 1 species
UCCUCAAUAGCUCAAUGGUAGAGCGGCCGGUUGUUAACUACUGGUCGUAGGUUCAAAUCCUACUUGGGGAG